rnacentral:rRNA from 1 species
UACGGGGGGAGCAAGCGUUGUUCGGAUUUACUGGGCGUAAAGAGCGCGCAGGCGGUCGGAUAAGUCGAAUGUGAAAGCCCCCGGCUCAACUGGGGAGGGUCAUUCGAUACUGUUCGACUCGAAGGCAGGAGAGGGAAGUGGAAUUCCCGGUGUAGUGGUGAAAUGCGUAGAUAUCGGGAGGAACACCAGUGGCGAAGGCGACUUCCUGGCCUGUUCUUGACGCUGAGGCGCGAAAGCUAGGGGAGCAAACGGG